GCAGGCAGUGGCAUAACCAAAGGAGACCUGUGAGGGAUCUGCAUUGGGAAGACACAGGUCAUAGUACUAAUCGUGUGCCGAGUUUCUAUUUUAGGAAUAGAGAAGAAGAAGAGAGUUGGUUGCAAUAGAGAAGGGAGAGAGAACAGAGGCAAGAAAGGGAAGCAGAACCUUCAAGAUGGCAAAGAAGAAAAGAGAGGCCAUCAUCCAGUGCAGCUGGGCAGUCAGAACGAAAUGGUGAUGCGGUUCCUGGUCCAAGCGCUAAAGUAUCUACACGAGAGGCUACUAUGGCUGGUGACCCCCUUUUAGAAGAAUUGUGCGAAAGGGCUAUAUCUGAAAAGACUCUUUCCAGCUACAAAAGGGCAUGGAAGAGAUGGCAGCUAUUCUGCAAAAGCGGUAAGAAUGAUCAAGGCAUUAAAGAUCUGCUAUCAUUUUUAAUGGUUCUGUAUAGAGAAGGAAAGUCAAAAGCAGGAGCCAUCACCACAUUAGCCGCAAUUUCUCAUUUUUCCAUAAGAAAGGGUAGACAGGAUAUAACACAUGACCCAUUAAUUAGGAAAAUAAUGAAGGGAUGGGCAAGAGUUGAGGGUCCCAGGGUGGAUAAGAGAGAGCCCAUAGUGGAAUACAGGUUAAAAAGGAUAAUGAAGUCACUUGGGAAGGUGUGUUCAGACCAAUUUGAAUACAUUUCGUUUAAAGCAGCUUUUGCAUUGGCAUUUUGGGGAGCCUUUAGGAUAAGUGAAUUGGUUCCUCCAUCCAAGAAGGCAACAGAUAAAGGCUUAAUGCAUCAUCAGGUUCGGAUGCAGGAAGGAAAGUUGCUAGUUUACAUUCGCAGAUCAAAAACAGAUCAGUUGGGUAAGGGCACAUGGGUCGGCAUAGGAAAAACGUCAGGGAUAACAUGCCCUGUCAAGGCCUUGCAGGAUUACAUGAGGGUGCGCCCAGCAGAGGGGCAACUGUUGUUAAUUCACAAGGAUUCAACUCCCAUGUCAGCAUUCCAGUUUAGACAGGUGCUAAAAAAGGCAGUAAUUGCGAAUGGAUGAGAUCCUAAGAAAUUUGGAUCACAUUCCUUUAGGAUCGGGGCAGCAACGGAGGCAGCAAUGAGGGGAGAAACGGUGGAUAGGAUAAAAAGGAUAGGGAGAUGGCAAUCCAAGGCAUACAAAAAAUACACACGCCCCAUAAAUGUAGCGGAGUAGUGAACUUAAUCCGCCUUCUCAUUUAAUUUUGCAGCAAAAGUUAAGACUACUUGCAACAUUUUGAUCAUAGGCCACUCAUUCAUUUUUUGGGCAAGAGAACAUACAGCAGGCAAGCAGUUGGGGUUACCAGAGGAACACAUGAAGAUUGUAUGGCAGGGUUGGAGAGGUAUGAAGUGGGAACAAAUGAGAGGUAGGUUGCAUAGCACAAUACAAAAGUACAAUUUCAUACAUUUGGUGAUAGUACACGCAGGGGGAAAUGACCUUACGUCAAGAAAGACCCCGGCAUUAAUAGAGGACAUGAGGAAGGACCUUGAAGAAUUAAUGGCAGACAGCAAGGUAGGGGGUGUGGCUUGGUCAGACAUUAUACAGAGAGGCGAAUGGCGCGGAGCCAUUUCCCCCCAGGGCAUUGAGAAAGCCAGGAAAAAAGUAAACAGGGCCAUGCACAAACUCAUGUGUUCCUCUGGUAAUGGGGUAAUUAGACAUGACAAUAUAAGGUAUCGGCAAACCCAGCUUUUCAGAAAGGAUAAAGUACAUUUGACAGAGGAAGGUUUGGAUUUGUUCUGGGCAAAUAUCAGGAACUUUAUAGCGGAAUGGUGGAGGUCGCGGUAGGAUUAGGUGGGCCAUGGAAAAAGGAUAGGAAGCACCCUUCCCUCUCUUUUAUAUUGGGUGGCGUCAGUGCGGCUCCAGGAAGAUGGAUGGUUUUCAGUGAAGUGCAGGCCUACCCUUGGGAAGUCACGAGUGUGGAGCAGACUUUGACUGCACGGUCUUGUCUGAGUCAUGCGAGAGGCUGGGUUAGCGCCAGUAUUGCACAUGAUGGGGGAGCAGGAGGAUGGGCUACUCGUUGGUCAACAGAGGGCGCUCUGCCCCAUGAUCCCUGCUCCCUUAAAACGUUUGGUUAUGGUAUGGGCAGCAGUCCCAUGUUCUUCACGAGUAUAGGAGCCGCAGCUGGUGGUCAGGGUGUAUCUAGUCCUUUAAAUAUAAAAUUGUUAAAUAAAAAAUGUGACCUCCACAGAUUUUGCCACCAUAACAAGUCUCUGUGUUUUUAUUAGGUCGGUGGUAAACAAUUGAAAGGGGGUAGGGGGAUCCUUUUGCCUAAUGAAAAUCCACCUGUGCCCCCACUAACCCACAUCCAGGGUGCACACUCCUGCUGCUUGACAUAAAGAAGUCCAACACUGGUUUUGUUCAGGUAUUGGUAGUUAUAUUUGUCUUACUUAAAGGCAUGCGCCGAUUUGGUGGUCUCAUUCCGAAGAUUACUGAAGUGGCUGAUGAUGAUUGCCCUGAACUCUACUGGGGGCAGCUGGCUGUGGGCAUUUAUGUAGGGUAGGGUUUUUUAUUAUUAAGAUUUUGUGUCUCCUUUAAUCAGAUCUGUCACUAGAUACUCAGUAUUACUAUACACAGCUGCACAGUGUUACACAGACUGGGAGGAGGAAUCUCUAUAACCAAUAAAGCUGGGGCAGUCACUAGAUACUCAGUAUUACUAUACACAGCUGCACAGUGUUACACAGACUGGGAGGAGUCUCUAUAACCAAUAAAGCUGGGGCAGUCACUAGAUACUCAGUAUUACUAUACAAAGCUGCACAGUGUUACACAGACUGGGAGGAGGAGUCUCUCUAUAACCAAUAAAGCUGAGGCAGUCACUAGAUACUCAGUAUUACUAUACACAGCUGCACAGUGUUACACAGACUGGGAGGAGGAGUCUCUAUAACCAAUAAAGCUGAGGCAGUCACUAGAUACUCAGUAUUACUAUACACAGCUGCACAGAGUUACACAGACUGGGAGGAGGAGUCUCUCUAUAACCAAUAAAGCUGGGGCAGUCACUAGAUACUCAGUAUUACUAUACACAGCUGCACAGUGUUACACAGACUGGGAGGAAGAAUCUCUCUAUAACCAAUAAAGCUGGGGCAGUCACUAGAUACUCAGUAUUACUAUACACAGCUGCACAGUGUUACACAGACUGGGAGGAGGAGUCUCUAUAACCAAUAAAGCUGGGGCAGUCACUAGAUACUCAGUAUUACUAUACACAGCUGCACAGAGUUACACAGACUGGGAGGAGGAGUCUCUCUAUAACCAAUAAAGCUGGGGCAGUCACUAGAUACUCAGUAUUACUAUACACAGCUGCACAGUGUUACACAGACUGGGAGGAGGAAUCUCUCUAUAACCAAUAAAGCUGGGGCAGUCACUAGAUACUCAGUAUUACUAUACACAGCUGCACAGUGUUACACAGACUGGGAGGAGGAGUCUCUAUAACCAAUAAAGCUGAGGCAGUCACUAGAUACUCAGUAUUACUAUACACAGCUGCACAGAGUUACACAGACUGGGAGGAGGAGUCUCUCUAUAACCAAUAAAGCUGGGGCAGUCACUAGAUACUCAGUAUUACUAUACACAGCUGCACAGAGUUACACAGACUGGGAGGAGGAGUCUCUCUAUAACCAAUAAAGCUGGGGCAGUCACUAGAUACUCAGUAUUACUAUACACAGCUGCACAGUGUUACACAGACUGGGAGGAGGAGUCUCUCUAUAACCAAUAAAGCUGGGGCAGUCACUAGAUACUCAGUAUUACUAUACACAGCUGCACAGUGUUACACAGACUGGGAGGAGGAAUCUCUCUAUAACCAAUAAAGCUGGGACAGUCACUAGAUACUCAGUAUUACUAUACACAGCUGCACAGUGUUACACAGACUGGGAGGAGGAGUCUCUAUAACCAAUAAAGCUGGGGCAGUCACUAGAUACUCAGUAUUACUAUACACAGCUGCACAGUGUUACACAGACUGGGAGGAGGAGUCUCUAUAACCAAUAAAGCUGGGGCAGUCACUAGAUACUCAGUAUUACUAUACACAGCUGCACAGUGUUACACAGACUGGGAGGAGGAGUCUCUCUAUAACCAAUAAAGCUGGGGCAGUCACUAGAUACUCAGUAUUACUAUACACAGCUGCACAGUGUUACACAGACUGGGAGGAGGAAUCUCUCUAUAACCAAUAAAGCUGGGGCAGUCACUAGAUACUCAGUAUUACUAUACACAGCUGCACAGUGUUACACAGACUGGGAGGAGGAGUCUCUAUAACCAAUAAAGCUGGGGCAGUCACUAGAUACUCAGUAUUACUAUACACAGCUGCACAGAGUUACACAGACUGGGAGGAGGAGUCUCUCUAUAACCAAUAAAGCUGGGGCAGUCACUAGAUACUCAGUAUUACUAUACACAGCUGCACAGUGUUACACAGACUGGGAGGAGGAAUCUCUCUAUAACCAAUAAAGCUGGGGCAGUCACUAGAUACUCAGUAUUACUAUACACAGCUGCACAGUGUUACACAGACUGGGAGGAGGAGUCUCUAUAACCAAUAAAGCUGAGGCAGUCACUAGAUACUCAGUAUUACUAUACACAGCUGCACAGAGUUACACAGACUGGGAGGAGGAGUCUCUCUAUAACCAAUAAAGCUGGGGCAGUCACUAGAUACUCAGUAUUACUAUACACAGCUGCACAGUGUUACACAGACUGGGAGGAGGAGUCUCUCUAUAACCAGUAAAGCUGGGGCAGUCACUAGAUACUCAGUAUUACUAUACACAGCUGCACAGUGUUACACAGACUGGGAGGAGUCUCUCUAUAACCAAUAAAGCUGGGGCAGUCACUAGAUACUCAGUAUUACUAUACACAGCUGCACAGUGUUACACAGACUGGGAGGAGGAAUCUCUAUAA